rnacentral:rRNA from 1 species
UGGGGAAUAUUGGGCAAUGGGCGCAAGCCUGACCCAGCAACGCCGCGUGAAGGAAGAAGGCUUUCGGUUGUAAACUUCUUUUGUCAGGGACGAAGCAAGUGACGGUACCUGACGAAUAAGCCACGGCUAACUACGUGCC